rnacentral:rRNA from 1 species
UACGGAGGGUGCAAGCGUUAUCCGGAUUUAUUGGGGUAGGCGGGCUUGUAAGUCAGUGGUGAAAUCUCAUAGCUUAACUAUGAAACUGCCAUUGAUACUGCAGGUCUUGAGUAAAGUAGAAGUGGCUGGAAUAAGUAGUGUAGCGGUGAAAUGCAUAGAUAUUACUUAGAACACCAAUUGCGAAGGCAGGUCACUAUGUUUUAACUGACGCUGAUGGACGAAAGCGUGGGGAGCGAACAGG